rnacentral:lncRNA from 1 species
GACGCUGACCAGCACCCGGUCGGGAUGCAGGCUCCUCUCCGGCUGGGCCCAAUUCCCCCGCCCCCACCGCCCAGCACGGACACCAUUUUAGGUCGCGACAUCCAGCAGCCUUGAGUCCCCCGGCCGCACUCCGACUGCCUCUCAGUCUAGAAGCGCCAGGACUUAGGGGUCCAGGAACCCCCUCCCACGUUACCGGGCUAGGGGCAGUGCUUCCAGCAAACUGGAGUUCCCAGCGCUUGUCCUCGAAGAAGAAGGCAGCGACCCCGCCAGGUCAUCCUGGGGGUUGAACUCAGGCCACCAGGCCUGGCUGCAGGUGGUUUUACCCAAUGGGCCAUCUCACUGAAUGGUAAACAUAUCACCCAGCUCUCUCAGCUUCAGCCUUCAAUUUUACUUCCUAGAGUGUAUGUCGCACCUCAGUGAAUUUCAUCAGGGUUGCUUACAGGAGCAUUGAGUACAGUUAUUUAUAGGAAGAUAGCACCUCACCAGUGAUUACAUUACUAAAGAAAAUGUCUCCCUAAUCCCAGCUAACAGAAAAGGAUGAAUACGGGGCUUUGUGAGCUCCUUGCCCUGACUUCAUGAAGUCUUUGGACUGUGAAACCCUGCUUCAUUAUCCUGACCUGAUGUCUCUGCGAGUUCAAGGCCAGGCUAGUCUACAGAG